rnacentral:rRNA from 1 species
UACCAGACUCCUACGGGAGGCAGCAGUGGGGAGUAUUGCACAAUGGGGGAAACCCUGAUGCAGCGACGCCGCGUGAGCGAUGAAGUAUUUCGGUAUGUAAAGCUCUAUCAGCAGGGAAGAAAAUGACGGUACCUGGCUAAGAAGCCCUGGCUAACUACGUGCCAGCAGCCGCGGUAAUACGUAGGGGGCAAGCGUUAUCCGGAUUUAUUGGGUUUAAAGGGUGCGCAGGCGGAUUUUUAAGUCAGCGGUCAAAUCGGGGGGCUCAACCCCAUCCAGCCGUUGAAACUGGGGAUCUAGAGUGUGCGAGAGGUAUGCGGAAUGCGUGGUGUAGCGGUGAAAUGCAUAGAUAUCGCGCAGAACUCCGAUUGCGAAGGCAGCGUACCGGCGCCACACUGACGCUGAGGCACGAAAGCGUGGGGAUCGAACAGGAUUAGAUACCCUUGUAA